GAGCGGGCGCAGGGGGUCGCUGUGAAAUCGCAUUAAGCCGCGCGCGGCGUCCAUCCUGCGUGUGACGUCAGCGACGUCAAAGGAGCCGUUUGUUCUGGAUCACGGAGAGGAAGAUCCGCGCGCGCUGACAGCCGAUUAAACGAGGUGCAGCCCCUGUUCUCAGAAGCGGACCCCCCUCACCUUCACCUCUGCACACCCAAGUAAGCCUGUCAACAGAGCGAGAGGGGUUCUGGUACAGAGUGACCAAGGGCUGCCAUCCACGUUUGGGACUGGUAAGGGCAGUUCCUCUGCUUAAACGGACCGGAGAAGAUGAGCUCCUUCAGAUAGGAGCCGUCGCACAGAAAAACCACCAAUAUGCAGAGGGCAGCUGAAUGCUGUUUGAAGCAUCCGUCUUCCAUCUGCUUACCCAGGACAGGGACAUUGGGGCGCUGGCACCUAUCCCAUGCAGCAUCAGGCCUGGGGAAGGGGCAGGGGUACACCCUGGACUGGAUGCCAGUCCACUGCAGGACACAUACUUACAGACCCAAUCACAUGCUAUUUUAGAGACCUAGCCACAUGUCUCUGACGGUGCCGGAGUACCCGGGGAAGCCCAGGCAAUUGGGGGGGGGGGGGGGGGGGUGGAAUUCACCUCACCCCCCCAGCCCCCCCAACUUUUGAGAUGUGAGUCAAAACUGCUACUAACUGAGCAGUUGUGCUGCCACCCAAGGGUGUAGUUUAAAAGUUUAGGGCCGAUAUUAUUUUCAGAGAUUAACAU